rnacentral:rRNA from 1 species
UACGUAGGGUGCGAGCGUUAAUCGGAAUUACUGGGCGUAAAGCGUGCGCAGGCGGUGAUGUAAGACAGAUGUGAAAUCCCCGGGCUCAACCUGGGAACUGCAUUUGUGACUGCAUCGCUGGAGUGCGGCAGAGGGGGAUGGAAUUCCGCGUGUAGCAGUGAAAUGCGUAGAUAUGCGGAGGAACACCGAUGGCGAAGGCAAUCCCCUGGGCCUGCACUGACGCUGAGGCGUGAAAGCGUGGGGAGCAAACAGG